GGGGGAAGCGGAGUACGUUGGACCCGGCUCCGCCCUACCCCACGGGGCCGCCUGGAGAGGUGCUGGGAGCUGGGUGGAGCUUAGAGGAAUUAAACUUUGGCCCUGCGCCUCGUCCAGCCUAGGUUCCACCCUUUUCUGGGAACGUGAGUAUCAACCAAGUUUACACCCCGCCACUCCUGAGCACCGCACACCGGCUUCCUCCCAGUCCCUCAUCUGAGAACUCAUGAAGCCACUUGGAAUCCCUCUCUGCUUUGCCUGGCUCAUUCCAUGUCAAUUUCAGAUCUUCACUUCAGGUCAGCUCCAAGGAGGCUAUCCUUGCCCAUCUUCCUAAAAUAGAGCUCUCAAAACCUGGCUGUUUUCCUUCAGAGCACUGGCCUCCAAUUGCUCCGGUAGAUUGCAAAUGACCUGCUUUCUUUCUGUUCCCGGGCGUUUGGACCCCUGUCUUGGACCGCUGUCGGAUAGUAAAUCCCAAGUAAGGUACCUGCCGUCGGCAGAUUUGAGCUUUCUUCUUGGACACCUAAUACCCAGAGUCCUCCAGGCUCCGGUAGAUUGCAAAUGACCUGCUUUCUUUCUGUUCCCGGGCUGCGUUCGGACCCCUGUCGGAUAGUAACUCCCAAGUAAGGUACCUGCCGUCGGCAGAUUGGAGCUUUCUUCUUGGAGACCUAAUACCCACAGUCCUCCAGAAAAACAAACAAAGACAUGGAUUUACUGUGCAUAUUAGCAGAUCCAUACUGGAAAAUGCAUGGAGGUUUCAUAUACACCACUUACAGGUUUCCAAAGCCACAAUUUCCUUCAUAUGUUCAAACUCUUCAGGAUGCAGAAAGGCAGUGAACUCCUCCGGAGUAGCUGUCAGGUCACCAUUGAGGUCUGCAGCUUUGAAUCUUCUCUCAUCACGUGGCAGCAUCUUUUUAAAGGUGUGAUGAUCUGAAGAAUCAUGAAACUCUGCGGGGUUUCCUAGGUUUUCAGCUCCUCAGUAGUGACAAAGCCAUACCCAUCAUUGUCGAUUCGAUCAACAAUCUUCCCUAGCCUCUCCUUGCUCUCGUCCGGGGUGAGCUCGUCGAAGUUCUUGGAGUCCUCCUUGCCCAGGAAGGCCUCGUGGUCGUACUGGAAGCUCUGGUUGUCCUCAGGGGGCCGCUCGCCCAGCUCCGAGUCGGGCCGCACCACGCGCUCUUUGCGCACCGUGGGCUUGGCCCGCAGAACCCGCGGCGCCAGCACCAGCGCCAGCAGCAGCCCCAGGGCUAACCCCAGGCGGCCACCGCGCGCCAUCGUCCCGAGGAGAGGGCGGCCGGGAGGGAGACGCUGAGCGAGCGACAACAGCGGCAGCUCGGGAAUGGGGGCUCGGAGCGCGGCGGCCAAGUUUUAUGUUAUGUAUAUUUUACAAGUAAAAAAAUUUUUUCACCUCAGCCUGAACUGAACACUAGCUGACAGACGUUUUGAUUUCUUUGACCAUCACGGAAUCGUGGCCAAGCGCGGUGGCUCACAUCUGUAAUCCCAACACUUUGGGAGGUCAAGAUGGGCGGAUUGCUUGAAUCCAGGUGUUUGAGAUCAGCCUGGGCAACAUGACAAAACCCUGUUUCUAGUAAAAAUACAAAAAUUAACCAGG
rnacentral:lncRNA from 1 species